rnacentral:rRNA from 1 species
UGGGCGUAAGCAUCUGUAGGUGGUUUUUAAAGUCGACUGUUAAAGCCCAGGGCUCAACUUUGGAUAAGCGGUCGAGUACUUAAGGACUUGAGUAUGGUAGGGGUAGAGGGAAUUCCUAGUGGAGCGGUGAAAUGCACAGAGAUUAGGAAGAACACCGAGGGCGAAAGCACUCUACUGGGCCAUGACUGACACUGAGAGAUGAAAGUUGGGGGAGCGAAAAGGAUUAGAUACCCUUGUAGUCCCAACCGUAAACGAUGGAUACUAAGUGCUGACAAAAUCAGUGCUGUAGCUAACGCGUUAAGUAUCCCGCCUGGGGAGUAUGCUCGCAAGAGUGAAACUCAAAGGAAUUGACGGGAACUGGCACAAGCGGUGGAUUAUGCGGUUUAAUUCGAUGAUACACGAAGAACCUUACCAGGGAUUGACAUGUUCAGAACUUUCGAGAGAUUGAAAGGUGCCCUUAUCUUUGAUAGGGGAGCUGAAACACAGGUGGUGCAUGGCUGUCGUCAGCUCGUGCCGUGAGGUGUCGAGUUAAGUCUUUAAACGAGCGCAACCCUUGUCUUUUGUUACCACUUUUUUCGAAAAGGACUCAAAAGAGACUGCCGGUGUAAACCGGAGGAAGGAGAGGAUGACGUCAAGUCAGCAUGCCCCUUACAUCCUGGGCUACACGCGUAAUACAAUGGCAAGGACAAUAGGACGCGAACCCGCGAGGGGGAGCAAAUCUAGUAAACUUUGUCUCAGUUCGGAUUGAAGUCUGCAACUCGACUUCAUGAAGCCGGAAUCGCUAGUAAUCGCCGGUCAGCUAUACGGCGGUGAAUACGUUCCCCAGUUUUGUACACACCGCCCGUCACAUGCUGGGAGCCAUCUUGUCCCGAAGACAGGUUGCCAACCUUUUAAGGAAGCGA